CCCUUAGAUGUCCUGGGCCGCACGCGCGCUACACUGAUGCAUGCAACGAGUUUAUAACCUUGGCCUGAAAGGUCUGGGUAAUCUUUUGAACGUGCAUCGUGAUAGGGAUAGAUUAUUGCAAUUGUUAAUCUUGAACGAGGAAUUCCUAGUAAACGCGAGUCAUCAGCUCGCAUUGAUUACGUCCCUGCCCUUUGUACACACCGCCCGUCGCACCUACCGAUUGAAUGGUUCGGUGAAGAUCUCGGACUUCGAUAUUUAUUCUUUAUUGAGUUUAUAUUGUGGGAAGUUAUCUAAACCUCAUCAUUUAGAGGAAGGUGAAGUCGUAACAG
rnacentral:rRNA from 1 species